rnacentral:rRNA from 1 species
CACGUAGUUAGCCGUGGCUUAUUCGUCAGGUACCGUCACUUGCUUCGUCCCUGACAAAAGAGGUUUACAACCCGAAAGCCUUCUUCCUUCACGCGGCGUUGCUGGGUCAGGCUUGCGCCCAUUGCCCAAUAUUCCCCACUGCUGCCUCCCGUAGGAGUCUGGGCCGUGUCUCAGUCCCAAUGUGGCCGGCCAACCUCUCAGUCCGGCUACUGAUCGUCGCCUUGGUGGGCCGUUACCCCGCCAACUAGCUAAUCAGACGCGAGCUCAUCUCAGAGCGAUAAAUCUUUGACAGCCAGGGAGAUGCCUCCCAGCUGUAUCAUGCGGUAUUAGCGGCUGUUUCCAGCCGUUAUUCCCCACUCCAAGGCAGAUUGCUCACGCGUUACUCACCCGUCCGCCACUUUCCCCACCUUCACUUGGACGAAUCCUCGAUCCAAUGGUUCUCGUUCGACUUGCAUGUGUUAAGCACGCCGCCAGCGUUCAUCCUGAGCCAGGAUA